GUGAAUCAUCAAAUUUUUGAAGGCAAAUUGCACUAUCUUCGGAGAGUAGGCCUGAUUGAGGGUCAGUAUUAAUAAAAAUCGGUGUGUUGAUUCUUUGUGACGAACCGGAGUUUGGGUCAUCUUAAUAUCGUGUAGGGUUUAAGAGGCUUAAAGUUGACUUUUUUUGCGAAUUGUAGAAGUAAAUGAAUUGUUUUUUUUAUUCGUCUGUGUUAAUGCUCAAAAUCGGUUUAGAUGCGACUAUAUCGUGUGGUUGUGUGUCUAUAAAUUUAUCAUGUUUUGA
rnacentral:misc_RNA from 1 species